GAUGAACGCUAGCUACAGGCUUAACACAUGCAAGUCGAGGGGCAGCAUCAUCAAAGCUUGCUUUGAUGGAUGGCGACCGGCGCACGGGUGAGUAACACGUAUCCAACCUGCCGACAACACUGGGAUAGCCUUUCGAAAGAAAGAUUAAUACCGGAUGGCAUAGUUUUCCCGCAUGGGAUAAUUAUUAAAGAAUUUCGGUUGUCGAUGGGGAUGCGUUCCAUUAGGCAGUUGGCGGGGUAACGGCCCACCAAACCAACGAUGGAUAGGGGUUCUGAGAGGAAGGUCCCCCACAUUGGAACUGAGACACGGUCCAAACUCCUACGGGAGGCAGCAGUGAGGAAUAUUGGUCAAUGGACGAGAGUCUGAACCAGCCAAGUAGCGUGAAGGAUGACUGCCCUAUGGGUUGUAAACUUCUUUUAUACGGGAAUAAAGUUAGCCACGUGUGGCUUUUUGUAUGUACCGUAUGAAUAAGGAUCGGCUAACUCCGUGCCAGCAGCCGCGGUAAUACGGAGGAUCCGAGCGUUAUCCGGAUUUAUUGGGUUUAAAGGGAGCGUAGGCGGGUUGUUAAGUCAGUUGUGAAAGUUUGCGGCUCAACCGUAAAAUUGCAGUUGAUACUGGCGACCUUGAGUGCAACAGAGGUAGGCGGAAUUCGUGGUGUAGCGGUGAAAUGCUUAGAUAUCACGAAGAACUCCGAUUGCGAAGGCAGCUUACUGGAUUGUAACUGACGCUGAUGCUCGAAAGUGUGGGCAUCAAACAGGCCCAGAUCCCCUGGUAGUCCACACAGUNCCCCCUCAAGGGCGCUGUUGGGCGAUAUACAGUCAGCGGCCAAGCGAAAGCAUUAAGUAUUCCACCUGGGGAGUACGCCGGCAACGGUGAAACUCAAAGGAAUUGACGGGGGCCCGCACAAGCGGAGGAACAUGUGGUUUAAUUUGAUGAUACGCGAGGAACCUUACCCGGGCUUAAAUUGCAACUGACUGAACCGGAAACGGUUCUUUUUUCGGUCAGUCGUGAAGGUGCUGCAUGGUUGUCGUCAGCUCGUGCCGUGAGGUGUCGGCUUAAGUGCCAUAACGAGCGCAACCCUCAUCGAUAGUUACUAGCAGGUCAUGCUGAGGACUCUAUUGAGACUGCCGUCGUAAGAUGUGAGGAAGGUGGGGAUGACGUCAAAUCAGCACGGCCCUUACGUCCGGGGGUACACACGUGUUACAAUGGGGGGUACAGAAGGCAGCUACACGGCGACGUGGUGCUAAUCCCGAAAGCCUCUCUCAGUUCGGAUUGGAGUGUGCAACCCGACUCCAUGAAGCAGGAUUCGCUAGUAAUCGCGCAUCAGCCACGGCGCGGUGAAUAAGUUCCCGGGCCUUGCACU
rnacentral:rRNA from 1 species